AUGCAUGUCUAAGUACACGCCUUUACACGGCAAAACUGCGAAUGGCUCAUUAAAUCAGUUAUGGUUCCUUAGAUCGUACAAUYCWAMUUGGAWAASUGUGGCAAUUCUAGAGYUAAUACAUGCAACACAGCUCCGACCUAGCGGGAAGAGCGCUUUUGUUAGCACAAAACCAAUCCGGUCCUCGCGGCCGGUUCAAAAUGGUGACUCUGAACAACUUUGUGCCGAUCGUAUGCCCUUGCGGCGACGACGCAUCUUUCAAAUGUCUGCCCUAUCAACUUUCGAUGGUACGUGCUAUGCCUACCAUGGUGAUAACGGGUAACGGGGAAUCAG
rnacentral:rRNA from 1 species